rnacentral:lncRNA from 1 species
GGUGAGGAGAAAAGAUGAAGAACAGUGGAGAAAAGUGGAGAAAAGAUGAAGUUUAUGCAGCAAAUUGCUAACUGGAACAAGGUUCCAUACAGAUAGCCAGCCAUGGGAGUCAGAAUUUGAACUCAGAUCUGGUCUGGUUCUGAAGCCUCUCUUCUUUCCAGCUGUGAGACAAAGGAGCAAAUAUGAGAAGCACCUUUUGCUCACUUCUGCUUGCCAGCAGAAUUUCACAAAAGCCCUGGACUGUGAAGAUGUUUGGAAAGAUGCUUUGAAGACAAAACCUUUAACAGGGUUAGUGUUUAUGCCUCUGUAAUCUACAACCGGAUGCGCUCUUACACCCAAGCCUUGAUGGGAUUCUGCUGCGACGGAAAUUCUGAGCAAAUUUGAUGUGAUUGUGCAGGAAAAAAGGCCCUUGGAUAUUCUAUUGUCUGCACUGAUUGAGGCAACGAGAAAGCUAAUGGAAAUAGUGGAUCUUGAGAUGAACAAGACAUACCCCUAAUUCGUAAGACACCCGAGGUCUAGUGGAAAAACAAAUCCCUAAAGCAGUAGUAAAACCGCAGUCAUGAUAAAAUGGAAGAAGCAACAGGAUUGUACCCACCUAUAACGAGAAAGCUUAACUUACUGACAUAUUCUCAUUGCUGAAGACUCUGUCUGAAUGAGGAUUUCAAUCUCAAGUCUAGGAUGUGAUUUCAUCUGGUAAAUGUCUUAUGGAAGGCUGAGGAGCAGCCUAAUGAGGUGAAGGGGAGAGGCAGACACGGAAGAAGCGCAUCUGUAGCUAAGAAAGAAAUACACUGACCCCAUUUCCAGUGGUUGAGCUUCUCUCCAAGUAGGUAGAUGCUGGCGAUGAAGACGUAGCUGAGAGAGAAGAAAGCUGCUAGACCCAAGAGGCUGAGUUUGGCAAACACAGGAUACACCCAGGUACCCGUCUCAAAGUAGAGCCAUAGGAUGCUGCAGGAAAUAAGAAGUCGUGGUGGUUAUAGCAGGAGGAGAAAAACAAGCCAUUUUCUCAUCAGGAUUAAUGAGGUACUGGUACCCAGGCAGGGGAAGAGAACCCAUCAGGGACGUUUGUCAACAGCUGUAGUAUUCCCACAAACCUAAAGAAGUGAGGCUUUUCUGGGUAAAUCAACUUGAUUCAAUAAGACAUGCUGUUUGAUGGGCUGGGCUGGGCUGUUUUACCUAAUCCACUUAAAUUCAACAUUGGUGAAAAAAUAUAAGAGAACAUAGGGCCAGGCACUGUGGCUCAUGCCUGUAAUCCCAGCACUUUGGGAGGCUGAGGGGGGUGGAUCACCUGAGGUCAGGAGUUCGAGAGCAGCCUGGCCAACAUGAUGAAACCCCAUCUCCACUAAAAAUACAAAAAAUUAACUGGGCAUGGUGGCUCAGGCCUGUAAUCCCAGCUACUAGGGAGGCGGAGGAAGAAGAAUCGCUUGAACCUGGGAGGCAGAGGUUGCAGUGAUCCAAGAUCACGCCACUGCACUCUAGCCUGGGCAACAAGAGUGAAACUUUGUCUCAAAAACAAACAAACAAACAAACAAACAAACAUAGAACCAUCGUUAGCUAAAGAACUAAAGAGAGUAUGUGGGAACAUGAAUGAUCCCUUUCCCUGAGAGGUAUGGCCUGCUGAGACAUUGAACCUGCUAUUAUGGCAUUGAUUUUGCUGGCUCUAAGCCAGAGAAGUGGGGUUUGCUUUUUUGGAUCUAAGAAUCAGGUGCAGCUUUCCCUUAGCUCUCCAAGUCUGCGGGGAUGAGGGAGCAGAGAUAGAGCGUUAUUGCCCUAACACAAUAUGCCUAGGAUUUAACUGUCGGCCCUGAUUUUCACUCAUGCAUAUAGCCAUAAAUAGAGUGUUAGGCAGUAAUGCAUGGAUUUGCAGGGAGGCUCAGAUCUUGCUUAUGUGAGGAUAGGCUGUAAGUCAUUUCUGGAAGCCGAGAGAAGGAAAAGAAAUGCUAGGAGAAGAGCCAUGAUGUCUAAGUGAAGCCUAAAAAUGCAGUUUGCUGGAAACCAACUGCACUGGAAGGUGCCAAAGUCUGAAAUAACUUUAAAAAAUUAAAUGUGGGGAAGCUGAUGCAUCAGCUACAGUUCAUCAUUGGUUAGGAGCACAGAAUCUGGAACUGGGCUUCUGUGAUUCAAACCCCAGCUCUGCCACCUAGUAGCUAUGUUACCUCCAGCAAUUUCAUCAACCUUUCUGUCCCCAUCUCCUCAAUGUGUAAAGUGAAGAUCCAAACAGCAUACACCUUCUAAGGCUGUUGUAAAGAUUACGGGAGUUAACACAUGUAAAAGACACAGAACAGUGCUUGGCACAUUGUAAUAUUUGACAAGAGUUCAAAAGCUUCCAUCUCCACUGAGGGAUGGCACAAUGGGAGUGCUCUCAGAAAGCCUUCUUUGAAGCUGCUGAUCUCUUGUAGCAAUUAGGAUAGGCCAGGUUAUGCUUCAAAAACAAUAUUUAAAUUUGAAUAUCCCACGUUGUCAAAGGAAUUCAGAUGGAAGAAUGAAAUUCUGUGCUUAAACUUUCAGAAACCCAAGGGUGAUCUCUGUCAUUUCAAAUACUUGAAGUUUGUUAAAUGGUUUGUGGAAGAGUCAAGGGCUAUAUUCAGGACCGGGAGUAGGGUGAAGCAAGAGAGGCCCUAGGGUGUAAAACUUAAGGGAUCAUCUCUGCAACAAAGGACACAAUAAACAGUGUGAAAAGGCAAUCCAUGGAAUGGGAAACAAUAUUUCUAAUCAUAUCUCUAAUAAGGGGUUAAUAUCCAAAAUAUGUAAAAUAUUCCUGUAACUCAACAAUAACAAAAAACCCAAAUAACUCAAUUAAAAAUGGACAAAGGACUUGAAUAGACCUUUUACAGAGAAGAUACAUAAAAGGCCAACAAAUGCAUGAAAGGAUGUUCAACAUCACUAAUAACUAGAAGAAAUGCAAAUCAAAAUGACAGUGAGAUAUUGUCUUACACUCAUUAGGAUGGAUACUAUAUUUUUUUUAAAAAGACAAGAUAACAAGUGUUAGUAAGGACAUAGAGAAAUUGGAACCCUUGUUCAUUGUUGGUAGGAAUGGAAGAUGGUACAUCUGCCUUGGAAAACUAUAUGGUGGUUCUCCCCAAAAUUAAAAUAGAAUUACCAUCUGAUCCAGCAAUUCCACUUCUGGGUACACACCCAAAAGAACUGAAAACAUGGCUAACAUGGUGAAACCCCAUCUCUACUAAAUAUACAAAAAAUUAGCCAGGCGUGGUGGCAGGUGCCUGUAGUCCCAGCUACUUGGGAGGCUGAGGGCAGGAGAAUGGCAUGAACCUGGGAGGCAGAGCUUGCAGUGAUUGGAGAUCGCGCCACUGCACUCCAGCCUGGGCGAGAGAAUGAGACUCUAUCUCAAAAAAAAAAAAAAAAGGAAUUGAAAACAGGGAUCUGAAGAGAUAUUUGUACACCCAUGUUUAUAGCAGCAUUAUUCACAAUAGCCUGAAGGUGGAAUCUCCCCAAGUGCCCACUGAUAGAUGAAUGGAUAAAUAAAAUGUGGCUUAUACAUAGGCAUUAAGAAGGAAGAACAUUCUGACACAUGCUACCACACAGAUCAACUUUGAAGACAUGGUAAGUGAAAUAAACCAGUCGUAAAAGGACAAAUACUGUAUAAUUCCAUUUAUAUGAGAAACCUAGAAUGUCAGAUUCAUAGAGGGAGAAAGUAGAAUGGUGCUUGCCAUGUGGUUGCGGGAGGAGGCAGCGGGGAAUGCUAUCUAUGGUUUCAAUAUGGUUUGUUUGUUCGUACCAAAACUCAUGUUGAAAUUUGGUCCUGCGUGUGUUGGUGUUGGGAGGGGGAGCCUAGUGGGAGGUGUUCGGGUCAUGGGGUUGGAUCUCCUAAGAAUGGUUUGAUGCUGUUCUUGUGAUAGUAAGCUCUAGAAAUGGAUUUUUUCUAUGAGAAUGGGUUGUUAUAAAUCUAGGGUGCCCCUCAGGUUUUGCCCUUUUCACACGUGUCCAUUUCCCCUUUGAUCUUCUCCACCACAUUGUGAGGCAGCAGUAAGGCCCUUGUCGGCAGCCAGGGCCAUGCCCUUGAACUUCUCAGCCUGCAGAAUAUGAACUAAAUAAACCUCUUUUCAAUCUCUGAUAUCCUUUUAUAGCAACACAAAAUGGACUGAGCCAGGGAGUUAUUGUUUAACGGGUAGACUUUCAGUUUGGGAAGAUGUAAAAGUUCUGGAGAUGGAUGGUGGUGAUGGAUGCACAACAAGGUAAAUGUACAAAAUGCUACAGAGCUUAAAAAUGAUCAAAAUGGUAAAUCACUUAAAAUCGUUAAAGUUGUAAAUAUUGUGUACCUUUUACCACAAUUUAAAUGUAUCUAAGGAGGUGUCAAUUUUAGGGUCAUAUAAAUGUAGGGUUGGCAUUUAGUUCCUCGCCUGGGCCCUGCUGGUAUCACUCUGCUUUCCCAAACUUGUCUGGAUGUUCCUCCCAGAUUGAGAAUGAGGUGACUAGAACAAACAAUAAUUAUCAUCAUUGUUACUAAUAUUAGAAUUCUUUUUCUUUUUUUAGAUGGAGUCUCACUCUGUUGCUCAGGCUGGAGUGCAGUGGUGCAAUCUCGGCUCACUGCAAGCUCCGCUUCCUGGGUUCAGCGAUUCUCCUGCCUCACCCUCCCGAGUAGCUGGGUUUACAGGCGUGCGCCACCAUGCCCAGCUAAUUUUUGUAUUUUUUGUAAAGACAGGGUUUCACCAUGUUGGUCAGGAUGGUCUCAAACUCCUGACCUUGUGAUCCGCCCACCUCAGCCUCCCAAAGUGCUGGGAUUACAAGCAUGAGCCACCAUGGCCAGCCUAGAGUUCUUUAAGAUAUGCGUUCCAUGGAUGCAUUACAGGAUGCCCACAGUGAUUCUUACCUGCAUGGCUACUUCUCAUGGCAGGACAAAGAAGGUAUAUGGCAUAGAAAAUAAACAGUUUCAAGUAGAUAGGGCUAGGAGUUUGGAGUCAGUGAGGAGCUCUGAAUGUACUCCAAAAAGUUGCAUCACUUAGUUCACUUUGUUUACUUUAUAUAGUUGAAAUUAGGGCUUCUGAAUUCCCAUGCACAUUUAUGUAAGAUAGUCUAUAAAUAAGGACAUCCCCCCAGAGGCUUGGAAAAUUUCUGUUUACUUCAUGUUUGUUUCCUUCAGCAUAAGGCUUGUAAAAGAAAGUUCCCGAGGUAAGCUAAUGAAUUGUGUACUUUCACAGAUAAAGUGUAAGGAAAGUUAUAGGUGUGGUACCUGACAGUAGGAAAAUUAACAGAGAUACAGAGUAUGAGGCAAGAUGAUAGUAAUUUACCAAGGGUACUCAGCAGAGAGGCGUGAAUGAGGACAGAGUCACACUGUUAGUUGACAUCACUUCUUUAUGGCUUGCCUGAAUAUGAGGGGAAGGUGGGAA